AUUUUUCUCUCUCAUUCCCUUUCUUGCACUCCCCUGUUUCCAGCUCAGUGCAGGUCUCAGGGAUAACAGCAGGUAGGUCCUGGACUGGACACCAGUGGCAGUUUUUACCCCCUGCCUGUUGGCUACUGACUGUAAUCAAUUGCUCUACCUCAAUUUACAGCAACAAAGAAUUUGGUCUUGCUAGAAUCUGCUUGAGAAAUGGCACUGCUCCAUUUUCCCACUUCAUCAAACCUCCAAAGGCAUCCCAAACUCACCCAUGGCUUACCUCCAUGGUAAGGGGUGAACAGACUUAUGGAAGCUCCAAACUGCACAGGACCCCUGGGCAGAGCCCUCCUAUUCCUACAGGAGAUCUCCAGCCUCACUGUGGAGAGAAAGAGAGAGGCUGAGGGAAGCAUCUGGUGGAAAUGAAAUCUGAGCAAUGAAACACUGAGGAAGAUAUUGCAUUGAAUGGGAGGCCAGCAGGGUACCUGGUGCCCUUUUAGCACCCACCUGCAACACUCCACUCACUUCUAUGCUUUUCCUCAUGAAGAAUUUGCUGCACAAUGACCAAGGUGAGUCUAACAGCUUUCCAAAAUCCCAGAUCUGUUGGAGAUUUUAUCCAUUCCAUUCUUGGAAGUUGAGGAUCCCAAGCAUUUUCCAAAACUGAUUGAUGUCACCUCUCAUAAAUCCAGCACCUCCUGAGAUCAGGAUUCAGUCCCUGUGGUGCCCAGCUGCUCAUUUUUGCCCAGACAUUCUUCAGGUCUCCAUCAUUUGUCUCAAAUUCCAUGGGAAAGGGACUGGGGAAGGUAACUCCCAUGCUUCACAUAUGAGGGCUGUUUCUCUGUUCUUGCUAUGGACAUUGCUCUGGUGUUUUGUAGUCAUCCCACAGACCCAAGCCCAGAAGCCCUGCAACACAAGUUCUGCUUGCUGCCAAUAGGGAUAAUGUGAGGAACUUGCAUGAAACCUCUCAUGUCCUUUGCUCACAGGAUUCCAUGACCAUCUAAGUCUUCUCUGUCACUUGCAUAAGUACACAUGUGAGUAAGUAUACUUAUUGAGAGUCAAGGUAUGUGUAUGAAAUGUGGGAUAAAGCACACAGAAGUAUUAUAUAUUGUGACUCUAAGGUUGCCUGCCUGUCCUGCAAUGUCCCUUCCCCCUCUAGUUUGGUGUCUACAGGGAAGAAGAGAAGCUGGGGGUGAAGUGAGGCAGCUUGUAAAGCAAGGAAUGACAGGCAAAUCCAUAUCAGGAGUUAAAUUUCAGCAUAUUUUAUGUCAAAUCACUCAGGAAUCACAAAACUUUACUCCUUUAUUCCUAUUUUCUUGAUGGCUAGAAUAUUACUUCUAAGCCAAAGCUUUCAUGUUUCACUCCCUUAUUUUAUUUUUAAAGAAAGAAUCUGUGUUGCAGUUUGACAUGUUUCUUGUUUUCAGACUGUUGAUUUUCUGUGUGGUUAACUCUAGGCUUCCUACAACUGUCAGCUUAUGUCACCUUCUGAAAAUUAUGCAUGACUUCUGGGACUCAUCUAUCAAAAGGAGAGAGCCCACAACACUCUGAGAAGUUGGUACCUUCUCUCUAGUUAUCUGGGUUGAUGGUUGUUCAGUGAACCUAUUAACUGCCUGGGGUGACUUGCAUCUUUACAGGUAUGGGACUGUAUUGUCUUUCUUUGCUUUGCUUAAAUGGCAGAUGCUACCCCUGUGUAGUGUCCUGGUUUAACUUUAUCUCUGGCCUGGUGGUUCCAAGUGCAGCUGGCUAUGUUCUCAUUGGACAGUAGACCCUUCAUGUGCCUGCAGAAGUAAUGGCUGUAGGAAUGUUUUAUCUUCCCCUUAUCUCACAUUCUCUGAAAACUGUCUCAGUUCAAGGUUAAUGCCUUUCAGUGGAGCACUUAAAUACACACUUAGCUCUAAGCACUUAAUUCCUACAGUUUCAUGGCAUAGGGAUGGAUUUCAGUGCCUACUCAUAGUCCAUGGCUUGCCAGCACUUCAACAGUCUCUUUUUCAGUGGCCAGAUAAAAGUGAGGAGCCAGCCCUGGCAGUCCUGUGCCUGGGGGUAUGGUUUGCUUUCUGGUAGUGAUGGACAAUGCCAUUCAAGUCUUUCAUGAUAAUCCCACAUGGAGAUUGAUGGGGCUUGAGGUCCAGCUGCUAACUGACGAUUAAGGAAAGGUGCUCUCCAGAAACCUAGGUCAGACCUAUAGGGAAAUAGAAGAGGGAAAGAUUCCCCUACUUUCUCUAGUUGUGGCUACUGGUAGCACCAUGCUCUCUGCUAGACCAGGUCACCCCACAGCACAGUAGGUGUCAAGCCUUUAUGUUGUGGUCAUAAUAUAUCAAUCUGCCAGCACAUCUCUUCCAAAUCCUAUGCCACCAUCUCUCUCUAGUCACCCACACCCACUCUUCUCUGCUGUGUCUCCUCCCAGGACCAGGUCACCCUUAAAAGUAUGUUUAAGGACAGCUCAGAAAGGGAAAAGAGAGGGAAGGCAGGGAAGGCAUAAUUCAUCUUGUUUAUGAUGUGACUGAACUAACAAAGUCUGAGCACCUUGUCCACACUGGGAUAAGGUCAUAAGAAAUAACUGAUCACAAGGAUAAGAGAAAAAUAAAUACGCCAUAUUCAUCUGAAUAGUAGAAAUA
ensembl:lncRNA